UCCACCUCCUCUGCCACCUCCUCCUCCUCUGUCACCUCCCCCACCUCCCCUUCCUCCCCUCUGCCAUCCCCCUUCUCUCCCUCUCCAUCUCCUUCACCUUUGAGCUCCUCAUCCUCCACCUCCCCUCCUCCCAGUGGUGACAGCAAACCAAUGAGACUGUCUCUGUCCAGCCCUGAGCUCAUCACAGAGCUGAAACAGUCGAGGAGCCGCUCCCUCCGUCACGUCCCCACCCACAACGGACUGACCACCGUCUUCUCCGGACGGGGACGAAGACAGUCCACUGGUACCACUCCCUCCAAACACUCAGCCAAUCAGAAGAGCUCACCCUGACUUCAUCAGCACCUGGACUCUGCUGCUCUGUAACUAAUCUCACUUUAAUGAUCAUUUCCAUUUGAUACCAGAAUGUAACGGACUGAAAGAAAGUUUCCUGACGUCUAACAUGAACCAACACUGUUCUGUCCAAAAGAAGCUCCGCCCCUCUGCUUUGGGUCUCACGCUGCACACAAACAGUUUACAGUAACAGCAUAAUAAUUAUUGAUUUAAUGAUUGAUGAGUGAACAAAAGCAAUGUCUCAUUUCAAGUCAAUGAUUUCUACUUUAGCUGAAAUGAGCUAACGGACGAUCACAAGUUAACCAGAAGCUUCGUCUCCAGCUGAGUUUUUAAUGUUUUCAGGUGAUUCCUUUUAAAAGCUGAUCACCUGUGAAGCUUUAAUCAUUCCUACUUCAUAUCAUGUGUGUGUCUUCUGGUUUCUAUUGAGCUGUUUUAUGGGUUUUUUUAAUGUUAUGGUAACAUUUAUGUCUAACACUGUACACAGUCCCUUACAAAUAUAAUAAAUAAAGCUAACGGGUAAAAAGUCGUGGCUCUACAGAAUCUGAUUAAUCACUCGUUGGUCAUUUUUCCAUUCUCUGAUUCAGCUUCUUAAAUGUGAAAUGUUCUGGUUUCUUCCUCUGUGACAGUGAACUGAACAUCUUUGGGACACUGAUAGACAUUUUUCACCAUUUUCUGACAUUUUAUUUUAUGGACCAAACAAAGAUUAAUAAUCAGUAAUGAACAUAAUUGUUAGUUGCAGCUCUAGUCUGAAGUCGGUGUGAGGUUUACAAGGUGCCAACCAAUGAAAACAAUAAAGGGUACAGUGGUAUUUUAUCACAGAAGAAGAAGAACAAACACAUUAAUAACACACUGAGAACUACAAUAAGUAAGACGUAAGUCAGCAACAAUCAUUCAAAUCAACUCUUAUUAACAGAAAACCCAAAAUACUGUGUCAUGGUUUGUUCAUGAGUGUCCAUGUGAAAAUAAAUGGUUGAAUGAAUAAAUGGAUGUUUGUAUCUCAGCUCCUGUUUUUAAC